rnacentral:rRNA from 1 species
CAGCCGCCGCGGGAAUACGAAGGGGGCUAGCGUUGUUCGGAUUUACUGGGCGUAAAGGGCGCGUAGACGGGCGAAUCAGUCAGGGGUGAAAUCCCAAGGCUCAACCUUGGAACUGCCUUCGAUACUGGCCGCCUUGAGUACGGGAGAGGUGUGUGGAACUCCGAGUGUAGAGGUGAAAUUCGUAGAUAUUCGGAAGAACACCAGUGGCGAAGGCGACACACUGGCCCGUUACUGACGCUGAGGCGCGAAAGCGUGGGGAGCAAACAGGAUUAGAUACCCCGGUAGUCCCUGUCUCUUAUAC